rnacentral:lncRNA from 1 species
AGCAAUAAACCAGGAAUGAGGGGAGCCCUGGUGACAAAGAGGACACUGGAUUCUCUCUGUGGUCAAGGAGAGAUGGCAGUGAGAGGGGUAAAUUCACUCAGUUACCCAACUUCCUCUUAGGAGAGUGGCAAGGGUGACAAGCCUCACCUGGCUGAGAGUGAGGUUUGUUUGGGCCCCAUUGUCAUAGCAACAAGGGAAUGUUUGGUAACAGAGCCAGUGACUUCACAGAAGCUGGUCUUAAUUCCACAUUUCUGAAGCUCAGGGAAGAGCAGAGCCAGCCAGGAGAGAAUGUGGAGGCAGAGGAAGACAAUAGUUCCCUUGGAAGAGCUGUGACUACUAGAAAAGUACUGUCCUGUAUCCUGGAGGGUCACCAGAUGGAACCAAAGACCAUGUUAUUUAAGUCAAUCUGUCAAAAAGUAAAACCUUAAUUUACAAUGAAAAAGUUUUUAAAAAAAAAUAAACAAUCUAAAUGACUACUUUCCUGAGCCUGU